UCGGAAUCACUGGGCGUAAAGCGUGCGUAGGCUGCGCUGCAAGUCAGACGUGAAAGCCCUCGGCUCAACCGAGGAAUUGCGUUUGAAACUGCAGGGCUAGAGUCUCGGAGAGGUUGGCGGAAUUCCUGGUGUAGGGGUGAAAUCCGUAGAUAUCAGGAGGAACACCGGUGGCGAAGGCGGCCAACUGGACCAGUACUGACGCUGAGGUACGAAAGCGUGGGGAGCAAACAGGAUUAGAUACCCUGGUAGUCCACGCUGUAAACGAUGGAUAUUAGGUGUCGGGUUUUUAACUUCCGUGCCGCGGUUAACGCGUUAAAUAUCCCGCCCGGGGAGUGCGGUCCCAAGGCUG
rnacentral:rRNA from 1 species